rnacentral:rRNA from 1 species
AGAUGGCGACCGGCGCACGGGUGAGUAACACGUAUCCAACCUGCCGAUAACUCGGGGAUAGCCUUUCGAAAGAAAGAUUAAUACCCGAUGGCAUAAUUAGACCGCAUGGUCUUAUUAUUAAAGAAUUUCGGUUAUCGAUGGGGAUGCGUUCCAUUAGGCAGUUGGUGAGGUAACGGCUCACCAAACCUUCGAUGGAUAGGGGUUCUGAGAGGAAGGUCCCCCACAUUGGAACUGAGACGCGGUCCAA